GAAAGUAUAGCUCAGUGGUAGAGUGCGUGCUUAGCAUGCAUAAGGUCCUGGGUUCAAUCCCCAGUAUUAUUA
rnacentral:tRNA from 1 species